rnacentral:rRNA from 1 species
GAUGAACGCUGGCGGCGCGCCUAACACAUGCAAGUCGAACGAGCGAGAGAGAGCUUGCUUUCUCGAGCGAGUGGCGAACGGGUGAGUAACGCGUGAGGAACCUGCCUCAAAGAGGGGGACAACAGUUGGAAACGACUGCUAAUACCGCAUAAGCCCACGGCUCGGCAUCGAGCAGAGGGAAAAGGAGUAAUCCGCUUUGAGAUGGCCUCGCGUCCGAUUAGCUAGUUGGUGAGGUAAUGGCCCACCAAGGCGACGAUCGGUAGCCGGACUGAGAGGUUGAACGGCCACAUUGGGACUGAGACACGGCCCAAACUCCUACGGGAGGCAGCAGUGGGGAAUAUUGCACAAUGGGGGAAACCCUGAUGCAGCGACGCCGCGUGAAGGAAGAAGUAUUUCGGUAUGUAAACUUCUAUCAGCAAGGAAGAAAAUGACGGUACUUGACUAAGAAGCCCCGGCUAAAUACGUG